rnacentral:rRNA from 1 species
AUGUUCCAGCAUCCGGUUCGUCGCCGCCUCGCCGCGGCGGCAUGGAACUGGAACCGAGCCACCGCCACCGGCCAUUUGGGGCCUGGCGGAGUCCGGCAUCUUGGUCGGACCAAGACGGCGAGCGACGGCCACGCCGCGUCGGCGCAGGAGAAGGCGCAUUAUAUGCCGCCCCUUUUCAGCGCCACGAGGGCAGAUUUGGCCAAAUACUCCACCACGCCGGAUCUGAUGGACGAGCAGCCGGAGCCGGAGCUGGAGGAGACGCCGACCUUCUCGUGGGAGCUCCAGGACUUGCUCAACGAGGACCUGUAUAAGGACGAGAUGAAGAGAAUCCCGGCGACUUUCACCUCAAUCAGGGACUACACGAGGUCCUUCGUGGUUCCACUGAUGGAGGAGAGGCGCGCCGGCGUCUGCGCCGCGCUGCGCUGCAAGGCAUCGGCCACGCGCCCGUGGCUAAGGUAG